rnacentral:lncRNA from 1 species
UUCGUUAUCCUUCAACCAGAAAAAUAGGUUUAGUUCUUCAUAGAGAGAAGAGAAAAAUUAAGAUCUAGGGUUUAUUUCUUUUCCUCCAAUCCAAAAUCCCCCCCUUUUUCACAAUAGAUUCCUCCCUUAAAUACUCUCUCUCUCUUCUCUUUUAGAAUUCUAUUUAAAAUAAAAUACUAAUAUCUGAAAUAUUAAAUUCGUAAUUACAAAAAUAACCAAAAAUACAAAACACGUUAAACUAAAACUGCAGGUCCGCAGUUGACAGCACGCGCCCACGCCUUAUCAACAAAGUUCUUCUGACGCUCAUAAUUUCU